rnacentral:rRNA from 1 species
AUGGAGAGGGAGAUUGGUCCAGAGUAUGAGCUGAACGAGAUAGAUGGCGGCACGUUGCAUGGCUCUGUGGGGAGCAGGCUCUCCCUGUUCGCCAGGGAGUUCAAGUGGAGAAGCAGCAGCUGGCAUAGCAGCAGCGCCUUGAGGCUCCCCAACAAUUGCUAUGGCAGCAGCUUUGUCAUCGACCCCAAUGGAAGAUGGUACAGGAUGUGGUCGAACAUGAUGUUCCUCUGGUCCAUCUACUCCGUCUUCUACACCCCCUUCGCCUUCUGCUUCUUCCGGGGCAUCCCCGAGCACCUGCUGGACCUCGAGUGCGUGCAGCUCAUCUUCCUCGCCGACGUCGCCGUCCACUUCUUCCUCGCCUACCGUGACCCUCACACCCACCGGGUGGUCUACGACCAGCAGAGGAUCGCGCUACGCUACAUCAAGGGCAGCUUCGCUCUCGACAUGCUCGGAUGCUUCCCCUGGGACGCAGUCUACAAGUUUACGGGGAGGAUGGAGGUGGUGAGGUACCUGGUGUGGCUGCGGCUGUACAGGGCGAGGAAGAUCCAGGGCUUCUUCAAGAAGAUGGAGAAGGACAUCCGCAUCAGCUACCUCUUCACGCGGAUCGCGAAGCUGGCCACCGUGGAGCUCUACUGCACGCACACCGCCGCCUGCGUCUUCUACUACCUCGCCACCACGCUGCCCCCGGCGCGCGAGGGGGGCACCUGGAUCGGGAGCCUCGCCAUGGGCGACCAGAGCUACAUCAACUUCAGGAAGGUCGACCUGCUCACCCGCUACAUCACCUCCCUCUACCUCGCCAUCGUCACCAUGGCCACAGUCGGCUAUGGUGAUGUGCAUGCGGUGAACCCGAGGGAGAUGGUGUUCAUCGUGGUGUACGUCUCCUUCAGCAUGCUGCUCGGCGCCUACCUCAUCGGGAACAUGACGGCGCUCAUCGUCAAGGGGUCCAGGACCGAGCGGUUCCGGGACAAGAUGACGGAGCUCAUCAGGUACAUGAACAGAAACCGGCUGUGCAGCGACAUCAGCUCCCAGGUGAAGGCGCACCUGCUGCUGCAGUACGAGAGCAGCUACAAGAGAGACAGGAUCAUCGACGACAUACCCGCCGCGGUCCGAUCCAAGACACUGUACCUGGAAACGGUCUCAAAAGUGCACCUGUUCAGAGGAUGCUCAGAAGACUUCCUGAGCCAGAUUGUGGUUAAAAUACAGGAAGAAUUCUUCCUCCCCGGGGAAGUUAUUUUGGAGCAAGGCACUGUAGUGGAUCAGAUAUACAUUGUGGCACAUGGAUGUCUGGAAGAGUUCGCCGCCGCCGGAGAAGGCGGAUCAGAAGAGAUCGUCUCAGAGCUGCUGCCCUACGACAUAGUCGGCGACGUCGCCGUGAUCUGCAACACUCGACAGCCAUACACAGUUAGAGUCAGUGAACUCUGCAGCCUCUUGAGAAUUGACAAGCAGUCCCUGACUAGCAUCUUGCAAAUGUACCUCAAGGAUAGCCGUCAGAUACUGAGCAACCUACUCAAGGGGAAACGAACAGAGUCAAAGGGGAAGCAACUAGAAUCAGAUAUCACAUACCUUAUAGCAAAGCAAGAAGCUGACAUGGUCCUUGGAGUCAACAAUGCUGCCUACCAUGGAGAUUUGUUUCGGUUGAAAGGCUUGAUCGGUGCAGGAGCAGAUCCGAGUAAACCGGAUUACGACGGGAGGACCUCCUUGCAUGUGGCUGCAUCAAGAGGAUACGAAGAUAUCGUCAGGUUCCUUAUCCAGCGAGGAGCAAACGUCAACAGCAUAGAUAAGUCUGGGAAGUCGCCGCUGCUGCAAGCGGUGAAAUCAGGGCACGAGAGGAUCAUCUCGCUGCUGGUGGCGCACGGCGCGGCGCUGAACCUGGAGGACGCAGGAGGCUACCUGUGCAGGGUGGUCGCCCAGGGCAAGAUCGACCUGCUGAGGAGGCUGCUCAGGUUCGGCAUCGACCCCAACUGCAGGAACUACGACCGGAGGACGCCGCUCCACGUAGCCGCCAGCGAGGGCCUGCACCUCGUCGCUGGGAUGCUGGUGGAGUUUGGUGCUGACCUUGUGGCCGCAGACAGGUGGGGCAACACCCCGCUCGACGAAGCACAACGGUGCGGCUGCAAGCCGCUGGUGAGGAUCCUGGAGCAGGCUAGAGCUGCUGCUGCUGCCGAUCAUUAG